rnacentral:rRNA from 1 species
GCAGCCGGCGAGUCCUCAACUGACGCUAAUGCUCGAAAGUGCGGGUAUCGAACAGGAUUAGAUACCCUGGUAGUCCGCACGGUAAACGAUGGAUGCCCGCUGUUGGCGAUAUAUUGUCAGCGGCCAAGCGAAAGCGUUAAGCAUCCCACCUGGGGAGUACGCCGGCAACGGUGAAACUCAAAGGAAUUGACGGGGGCCCGCACAAGCGGAGGAACAUGUGGUUUAAUUCGAUGAUACGCGAGGAACCUUACCCGGGCUUGAACUGCAGCAGAACGAUAGAGAGAUCUUGAGGCCCUUCGGGGCUGCUGUGGAGGUGCUGCAUGGUUGUCGUCAGCUCGUGCCGUGAGGUGUCGGCUUAAGUGCCAUAACGAGCGCAACCCCUUCCGUCAGUUGCCAUCACUUUGGGUGGGCACUCUGGCGGUACUGCCACCGUAAGGUGUGAGGAAGGUGGGGAUGACGUCAAAUCAGCACGGUCUGACGGGCGGUGUGUACAAGCCCCUACAAUGUAUGGUACAGAGAGUCAAUGACCGCAACGUCGGUUUAAUCAAUAAACCCAUCCUCAGUUCCGAUUGGCUAUGCAACCCGACGCCGCAAGCUGAU